rnacentral:lncRNA from 1 species
AUCUUUCUGCAUGCACAGAUCCAUGUGGCACUCAUCUCAUCAUUCUGAGGGAUGAAAGAUGCAUGGGGAAUAAUGCAUGUGGUUAUUUCUGCAGAACCCACAGAAAACAAUAAAGCAGGAGAGAAAAGAGGAUGGCAGUUUACCCAGGAAACAUAGGUUGUUCAAAGCUUUGCAAUGAUAUUCUCAAUUCAGAGCAAUGAAGAACAGAAUGCUGUCUUCCCAUAAUGAUGGCAUUCAAUUAUCACUAGACUUACAAGACUACAGAAAAUUUCUCAAGAACCAGUAAGGAUCAGACACAGCCAAUGACAAUACUGAAGAAGCUUGCCAGUGGAGAAUGAAAGCUCAAUUACACAAAUUACCUUGUUGAACCAGUGCCAGAAAUAAAAUGUGAUGAAGGACAAACUCAUUAA